rnacentral:lncRNA from 1 species
AGAAUGGCAUCUGGCGUGCCAUGAAGUAGCAUCAUCGUUCGAAAGGCCUUCAGGUGGUCGACCGGGUCUAAGAUCCCGUCAUAGCUUUCGAAUUGGGGGAGCUUGAAGUUUGGUGGGAUCGAUUCCUGCAUGAUCAUUUGAGAGAAGGGAGGGUCAGUACAGAUAUCCUCACCAUAAGCAGGGGGAGCGUGGCGAAGUUCUUCAAUCCAUCGGUUCAUCUCUUGGCGCCUU